GUAGGUGGCAAGCGUUGUCCGGAAUUAUUGGGCGUAAAGCGCGCGCAGACGGUUCUUUAAGUCUGAUGUGAAAGCCCACGGCUCAACCGUGGGGGGUCAUUGGAAACUGGAGAACUUGAGUACAGAAGAGGAAAGCGGAAUUCCACGUGUAGCGGUGAAAUGCGUAGAGAUGUGGAGGAACACCAGUGGCGAAGGCGGCUUUCUGGUCUGUAACUGACGCUGAGGCGCGAAAGCGUGGGGAGCAAACAGGGAUUAGAUACCCUGGUAGUCCACGCCGUAAACGAUGAGUGCUAAGUGUUAGGGGGUUUCCGCCCCCUUAGUGCUGCAGCUAACGCAUUAAGCACUCCGCCUGGGGAGUACGGCCGCAAGGCUG
rnacentral:rRNA from 1 species